CCCCUCCUCCUUUGGUUGUUUCUGGACAGUAGGAGUACGAAGUCUCCUCCAUCAUUGAUUCCAGGUUUUCUCGUGUUUCCUUCCAGUAUUUGGUUGAUUGGAGGGAGUAUGGGCCUGCUGACCGUUCUUGGGUUUCCCCUUCUGAUAUCCAUGCUGGCCGUAAAAUUCAUUCUUUUCAUGCCAAGUUUCCUCUCAAACCUGGUCCUGCCCGCCCGGUGGGUGGUCUUCAGGUGGGGGAUAAUGUCACGUAUUCAUCUG